GACGAACGCUGGAGGCGUGCUUAACACAUGCAAGUCGAACGAUGAAAUGGAGCUUGCUCCAUGGAUUAGUGGCGAACGGGUGAGUAACACGUGAAUAACCUGCCCUUAAUUUUGGAAUAACCCAGGGAAACCUGAGCUAAUACCGGAUAAGUAAACCUGUCGCAUCACAUGGUUUUGGAAAGGUUUUCGAUUAAGGAUGGAUUCGCGGCCUAUCAGCUUGUUGGUGAGGUAAUGGCGCACCAAGGCGACGACGGGUAGCCGGCCUGAGAGGGUGAACGGCCACACUGGGACUGAGACACGGCCCAGACUCCUACGGGAGGCAGCAGUGGGGAAUAUUGCGCAAUGGACGAAAGUCUGACGCAGCGACGCCUCGUGAGGGACGAAGGUCUGCGGAUUGUAAACCUCUUUCAGCAGGGACGAAGCGAAAGUGACGGUACCUGCAGAAGAAGCACCGGCUAACUACGUGCCAGCAGCCGCCGUAA
rnacentral:rRNA from 1 species